rnacentral:misc_RNA from 1 species
AAACCUACUCAAGUAAGUUUACUUGGAAGUGAAGGAAGAAUACUUUUUAAAUAAGGAGUUCUCCUUUGAAAUUGAUUAGCAGAUGGUAUAAAAUCCUGACGUUGCAAGAUUUUUUAUCUUUCGAAGGUGAUUUUAUAAAGAAAUAUCAUUUAGCUUCAAAUCCAUUUAAUGGCAUAUAUAUAUAUAUGACAGUAAAUAAUUCAUUUUAUA